rnacentral:rRNA from 1 species
AUUGAACGCUGGCGGCAGGCCUAACACAUGCAAGUCGAACGAUUGGCGGACGGGUGAGUAAUUUCUGGGAAACUGCCUGAUGGAGGGGGAUAACUACUGGAAACGGUAGCUAAUACCGCAUACCAUCAGAUGUGCCCAGAUGUGAUCAGCUAGUUGGGGGGGUAACGGCUCACCAAGGCGACGAUCCUUAGCCGGUCUGAGAGGAUGACCAGGCACACGGGAACUGAGACACGGACCAGAAUCCUACGUGAGGCAGCAGUGGGGAAGAUUGCGCAAUGGGCGCAAGCCUGAUGCAGCCAUGCCGCGUGUAUGAAGAAGGCCUUCGGGUUGUAAAGAACUUUCAGCGGGGAGGCGUUACCCGCAGAAGAAGCACCGGAUAAAUCCGUGCCAGCAGCCGCGGUAAUUC